AUUGCUUCUCGGCCUUUUGGCUAAGAUCAAGUGUAGUAAAACGACAUACAAACCUAAGUUAUUAUUGUUAACUAUGUAAUCAUUCUUGCAGACAUACUUUUAAGUCAGUGUCUCAGAUCUUCCUUGGUUGUAAACUACAUUCAACUCUGUAUUUUCCUAGAAAGCAGUAAUUGAAGAAAAGUU
rfam:Chlorocebus sabaeus isolate 1994-021 chromosome 10, whole genome shotgun sequence.